UUUAUUGAUCUGGGUCAGCCAAGCACGCCUCAUGCAGCCAGCACCCACCCACUAUUGAUCUGGAUCAAUAGUGGUCAGUUUGCCCCUGUUACCUUGAAGCCAUUCCCACACAGGCUUCAAGCAGGAGGCAACCAUGUUUAUCGAUGUCGUAGUUCUCGCCGGUAUCGGCACCGUCGGUCUGAUGGUCGCCUUCUUCUUCGGUGUUGGUUAUUUCAUCUGGCAGGAUUCGCACAAGCGCAAGCAGAGCUGAAUCCUCUGGAGCAAGGGGCACGCAAGGCAAUUUGGGCGACUUAGGUCGCCCUUU
rnacentral:misc_RNA from 1 species